UACGUAGGGGGCAAGCGUUAUCCGGAUUUACUGGGUGUAAAGGGAGCGCAUACGGAAGCGGAAGUCAGAUGUGGAAGCCCCGGGCAUAACCCGGGGAGGGCAUUUGAAACUCUUCUUCUAGAGUACUGGAGGGGUGAGCGGAAUUCCUGGCGUAGCGGUGAAAUGCGUAGAUAUCAGGAAGAACACCGGCGGCGAAGGCGGCUCACUGGACAGCAACUGACGUUGAGGCUCGAAAGCGUGGGGAGCAAAC
rnacentral:rRNA from 1 species